rnacentral:rRNA from 1 species
UACAGAGGGGGCAAGCGUUAUUCGGAAUUAUUGGGCGUAAAGGGCGCGUAGGCGGCUUGAUAAGUCAAAGGUGAAAUCCCUCGGCUCAACCGAGGACCUGCCUUUGAUACUGUCUCGCUCGAGGCCGGGAGAGGGUAGCGGAAUUCCCAGUGUAGCGGUGAAAUGCGUAGAUAUUGGGAGGAACACCGGUGGCGAAGGCGGCUACCUGGACCGGUUCUGACGCUGAGGCGCGAAAGCGUGGGUAGCAAACAGG